rnacentral:tRNA from 1 species
GCCCAGAUAGCUCAGUUGGUAGAGCACGCCCAUGGUAAGGGCGAGGUCGGCGGUUCAAUCCCGCCUCUGGGCU